rnacentral:rRNA from 1 species
UACAGAGGGGGCAAGCGUUGUUCGGAAUUACUGGGCGUAAAGGGCGCGUAGGCGGCCUGCUAAGUCGAACGUGAAAUCCCUGGGCUCAACCCAGGAACUGCGUCCGAUACUGGUUGGCUUGAAUCCGGGAGAGGGAUGUGGAAUUCCAGGUGUAGCGGUGAAAUGCGUAGAUAUCUGGAGGAACACCGGUGGCGAAGGCGGUUCUCUGGGCAUUACCUGACGCUGAGGAGCGAAAGUGUGGGGAGCGAACAGG